rnacentral:rRNA from 2 species
CAAGUCGAGCGCAGAUGGAGGUGACACAAAGCGGAUAAGAGAACAGAAUGCGAAGCAUUCUUUUCCUUUGUAUUCUUUGUGUCACUUCUUGAUGAGCGGCAGACGGGUGAGUAACGCGUUGGAAUCUACCCCAGAGUGAGGGAUAGCCCGGAGAAAUCCGGAUUAAUACCGCAUAGUCCCGAGAGGGUAAAAGAGCAAUCUGCUCUGGGAGGAUCCUGCGUCCUAUCAGCUAGUUGGCGGGGUAAAAGCCCACCAAGGCUAUGACGGGUAGUUGGUCUGAGAGGAUGACCAACCACAAUGGGACUGAGACACGGCCCAUACUCCUACGGGAGGCAGCAGUGAGGAAUCUUCCGCAAUGGGCGCAAGCCUGACGGAGCGACACCGCGUGGAGGACGAAGCCUUUGUUGGUGUAAACUCCUUUUUUCUCCGAAGAUAAUGACGGUAGGAGAAGAAUAAGAAGCAGCAAACUACGUGCCAGCAGCUGCGGUAAUACGUAGGCUUCAAGCGUUAUCCGGAAUUACUGGGUGUAAAGCGUCUGUAGGCGGCAGAGUAAGUUUGGCAUGAAAGACCGGGGCUUAACCCCGUGUUUGUGUCGAAAACUGCUCAGCUAGAAUCUGGGAGAGGGAAGCAGAAUGAUGUGAGUAGGGGUGCAAUCCGUUGAUACACAUCAGAAUACCAAAAGCGAAGGCAGCUUCCUGGAACAGUAUUGACGCUCAGAGACGAAAGCGUGGGGAGCGAAAAGGAUUAGAUACCCUUGUAGUCCACGCCCUAAACGAUGAUGACUAGGUGUCGGCGUAAGCCGGUGCUAUAAGCUAACGCGUUAAGUCAUCCACCUGAGGAGUACGGCCGCAAGGUUAAAACUCAAAUGAAUAGACGGGGACCCACACAAGCAGUGGAUCAUGUGGUUUAAUUCGACAAUAAACGAGGGACCUUACCCAGGCUUGACAUCCCGAGAAGUCCGAUGAAAGUUGGAUGUGCCCGCAAGGGAACUUGGUGACAGGCGCUGCAUGGUUGUCGUCAGCUCGUGCCUUGAGGUGUUCGGUUAAGUCCG